rnacentral:rRNA from 1 species
CCCGAUCGACGGUGAUUACACCGCCUGUAUUGGUGUCUUAUGCGCAUGCCAUCAUGCAUAUUCGACCUUGGUGGGGCAUACUUAGCUGUAUGUUUUGCUAGGGAUCAAAUCGAUUAUGCUCAUUUACUUUGAAAAAAUUAGAGUGUUUAAAGCAGGCUUAUCGCCUUGAAUACAUUAGCAUGGAAUAAUAAUUUAGGACUUCGGUUCUAUUUUGUUGGUUUCUAGGACUGAAGUAAUGAUUGAUAGGGAUAGUUGGGGGUGCUAGUAUUCAGCGGCCAGAGGUGAAAUUCUCGGAUUCGCUGAAGACUAACUUAUGCGAAAGCAUU